UUAGGGCUCAAGCCUGGAGGGCGAGAGCCCUAUUGUUUUCCUUAGGAUUAUUUUUUAUUAUUAUUAUUAUUAUUAUUAUUAUUAUUAUUUUUUUCCAACGUCUCGGGGGCUUUUGGGGCCCUUAACAUACUCGAAAACUCUUGAAAAUUGGCACACACAUUGGAACCUGCGGCCAUUAGGAGGCUGCAGAGGCUGAGACCCGGGCGUGGCACAGGGGCUCUACGGCGCCCCCUGGAACACAGUCAGAAUUGUUGAUGUAUAGUUCAAACAUACUUGCACGUAUUCAUAUGAAACUCAGUACACAUAUAGAUCGCAUUGUGCCGAACAACUUUCGUAUUGCAUGUCAUAGGCUCCACCCAACAGGAAGUCAGCUAUUUAGAGCUAUGUAAAAAGCGCAUGCUCUGGAAUUUGAUAUACUUGUCAUAGGUUUUUUACCCGAUUGCCACCAAACUUGGUCAACAUGAUCUCAAGACAUUGGGGAUGCAAAAUUGCCAGGGGAUUUUUGAUAUCUCGAACGGUUUGCUCGUGGCGAGGCGUUAAAAUUAUGGCGAGAAAUGAGAAACAGGAAGUGUCUAAUAACAUCCACAUACAUUUCCUGAUUUUAAUUAAACUUCAUCAAUUUGUUCGUUGUAUGAUGCCGAUCGCAUAUAUGUGACUAUUAGGAGUCAAAAUUAUAGCGCCACCAACUGGCAGCAGGAAGUGUGUCAUUUUCAAAAAUGCUUUGAAUUCAGCAUCUUAUUUUUACUCAAUUUGCUUCAAACUUCAUCAGAAUAAUGACAAAAACACGGACCAUGUAAAACUGUUGAGGGGAUAUUGAUAUCUAAUAUAGUGUUGCCAUGGCAACAUAUCAAACUGGAAUAUUUUUCUGUAUAAUAUAUUCUGAUUUUUGAGGCAGAUAACAUGGUUAGAAUUUCAUGAAACUCAGAACACAUAUCAGUAUUAAUGAUAGCUAGACACUGGCAAAAG
ensembl:lncRNA